rnacentral:misc_RNA from 1 species
GAUGAAGAACGUAGCGAAAUGCGAUAAGUAAUGUGAAUUGCAGAAUUCAGUGAAUCAUCGAAUCUUUGAACGCAUCUUGCGCUCCUUGGUAUUCUGAGGAGCAUGCCUGUUUGAGUGUCAUUAAAUUCUCAACUACACUGACUUUGAAUUGGUGUGGCUUGGAUUUGGGGGGAAAAUUGUUGUGGGCUUUUUGUAUAGUCUGCUCCCCUGAAAUUGAUUAGCGGUACCUUUGUGGAACUGUCUACAGGUGUGAUAAUUAUCUACAUCUUAGACAUCUGCUGGAAUGCUGCUCUCUAAACCUUCCUUGUAUUGACAAUCUUGACCUCAAAUCAGGUAGGACUACCCGCUGAACUUAAGCAUAUCAAUAAGCGGAGGA